rnacentral:misc_RNA from 1 species
GACGGAGGGUGCAAGCGUUGUUCGGAAUCAUUGGGCGUAAAGGGCGCGCAGGCGGCCUUCCAAGUCCGAUGUGAAAGUCCGGGGCUCAACCCCGGAAGCGCAUCGGAAACUGGUUGGCUUGAGUCCGAGAGGGGACCGUGGAAUUCCUGGUGUAGGGGUGAAAUCCGUAGCGAUCAGGAGGAACACCGGAGGUGAAAACGACGGUCUGGAUCGGGACUGACGCUGAGGCGCGAAAGCGCGGGUAGCGAACAGG